UUGGGAGUUUACAUCGUCUGAGGGUUCCGUUCUAUUGGAGUAUAUCAGGCUAACGUGGAGGUGAAUUUCCAUGAACAUCUGGACAGGUCGCGGGUAGUGCUGGGGCCUAUCCCAGCUGUCUCUGGCCGAAGGCAGGGAAACACGCUGGACAGGUGGCCAUCACAGGGCUACAUAAUUUGAGAUAAAAAGAUACCAUCGUGAAACCUCAAUUUAAGAAAACCCUAAAGGAGAACGUCCUGUCAUCAGUCCGUGAGUUGAAGCUCAAGCACAGCUGGAUUAUGCAGCAAGACAAUGAACCAAAGCAUAGGAGUAAGUCCACCUCUGAAUGACUCAAAUGAAACAACAUUAAAGUUUUGGAGGGGCCUAGUCAAAGCCCUGACUUGAACCCGACUGAGAUGCUGCCAGGACCUUAAAUGGGCAGUUCAUGCUCAAACUCUCCAAUGUGGCUGAACUAAAUCAGUUCUACAAAUAAGAGUGAGCCAAAACUCCCCCACAGUGUUGUGUAAGACUGAUCAUUUAUCGGAAGUGUUUGGUUGCUGUUGUUGCUGCUAAAGGUGGCACAAGCUAUUAUGUUUAAGGGGCAGUUCAUUUUUCACAUGGGUGAUAUAGGUGUUGGAUAACGUUUUUUGCUAAAAGGAUGGGGUCAAAUACUUUUUACAGCACUGUACAUAGAUAGAAAAUAAAUGUGAAAUAAAUAUAUACUUGAUAUUUUAGAUAAAAA